UUCCCAAACAUGAACUCAGCGAUAUUGGCCUUAAAUUUUCCAGCUCUAAUUUCUUCCCCGGUUCAGGGACAAAGACGACAUUGGCCUCCUUCCAAGAGCUGGGGAUGUUUCCAGUGUGCCAUAUGUCAUUGUAGAGUUUGGUCAACUUCGGAUAGACUUGUCAUCCAAGUUUCUCAGUAUCUUGUUUGUGACGCCGUCUUUUCCCGCAUCCGAGGUGGUCUUGAGGUCUGCGAGUGCUGCCCUGACUUCAGCUUCGG
rnacentral:lncRNA from 1 species